rnacentral:tRNA from 1 species
UAAAAGAUAAGCUAAUUAAGCUAAUGGACUCAUAUUCCAUUUAUAUAAGAAACCCUUAUUCUUUUUA